UACGUAGGGUGCAAGCGUUGUCCGGAAUUAUUGGGCGUAAAGAGCUCGUAGGCGGUCUGUUGCGUCGGCUGUGAAAACCCGGGGCUCAACUCCGGGCCUGCAGCCGAUACGGGCAGACUAGAGUUCGGGAGGGGAGUCUGGAAUUCCUGGUGUAGCGGUGAAAUGCGCAGAUAUCAGGAGGAACACCGGUGGCGAAGGCGGGUCUCUGGGCCGAUACUGACGCUGAGGAGCGAAAGCGUGGGGAGCAAACAGG
rnacentral:rRNA from 1 species